rnacentral:rRNA from 1 species
UACGAAGGGGGCUAGCGUUGCUCGGAAUCACUGGGCGUAAAGGGUGCGUAGGUGGGUCUUUAAGUCAGAGGUGAAAUCCUGGAGCUCAACUCCAGAACUGCCUUUGAUACUGAGGAUCUUGAGUUCGGGAGAGGUGAGUGGAACUGCGAGUGUAGAGGUGAAAUUCGUAGAUAUUCGCAAGAACACCAGUGGCGAAGGCGGCUCACUGGCCCGAUACUGACACUGAGGCACGAAAGCGUGGGGAGCAAACAGG